CGCCUUGCCAGCCCGCUCAGAACUCAAAGGAAUUGACGGGGGCCCGCACAAGCGGUGGAGCAUGUGGUUUAAUUCGAUGAUACGCGAGGAACCUUACCUGGGCUCAAAUGUAUGUUGACGUAUUCUGAAAGGGAUACUUCUUCGGACAAUAUACAAGGUGCUGCAUGGUUGUCGUCAGCUCGUGCCGUGAGGUGUCGGGUUAAGUCCCAUAACGAGCGCAACCCCUACCUUUAGUUGCCAUCAGGUUAAGCUGGGGACUCUAAAGGAACUGCCUACGCAAGUAGUGAGGAAGGCGGGGAUGACGUCAAAUCAGCACGGCCCUUACGUCCAGGGCUACACACGUGCUACAAUGGCCGAUACAGAGGGCAGCUACCUGGUGACAGGAUGCAAAUCUCCAAAGUCGGUCUCAGUUCGGAUCGGAGUCUGCAACCCGACUCCGUGAAGUUGGAUUCGCUAGUAAUCGCGCAUCAGCCAUGGCGCGGUGAAUACGUUCCCGGGCCUU
rnacentral:rRNA from 1 species